GACGCGAAGCCGGGUGAGCUAUCCAUGGGCAGGCUGAAGCGGGGGUAAGACCCCGUGGAGGGCCGAACCCACUUCGGUUGAAAACGGAGGGGAUGACCCGUGGAUAGGGGUGAAAGGCCAAUCAAACCCGGAGAUAUCUCGUUCUCCCCGAAAUAGCUUUAGGGCUAGCCUCGGGCGUUAAAUGGCGGAGGUAGAGCACUGGACCGGCGAGGGGGCCUCACCGCCUACCGACCCAGACCAAACUCCGAAUGCCGCCAUUCGAAAGCCCGGGAGUCAGAGCAUGUGGGCUAAGCUGUGUGCUCGAGAGGGAAACAGCCCAGACCGCCCGCUAAGGCCCCCAAGUCCGUGCUGAGUGGCAAAGGAUGUGCGUUUGCCUAGACAACCAGGAUGUUGGCUUAGAAGCAGCCAUGCAUUUAAAGAGUGCGUAACAGCUCACUGGUCGAGUGGACAUGCGCCGACAAUUCACGGGGCUAAGCACGGCGCCGAAGCGGCGGACCGUAACAUAUACGAUGGUAGGGGAGCUUUCCGCGCAGGGCGGAAGCCGGAGGGGCGACCCCCGGUGGACCGCGCGGAAGUGAGGAUGCAGGCAUGAGUAGCGAGAGCAGGGCGAGAAACCCUGCCGCCGCAAGCCUAAGGUUUCCUGGGCGAGGCUAAUCCCCCCAGGGUCAGUCGGGAGCUAAGGCGAGGCCGGGAGGCGUAGCCGAUGCGCAACGGGCGGACAUUCCCGUACCGCCGGGGCGGCGCUUACGACCGAUGGGGCGACGGAGAAGGGUAGCCGGGCGGGGUUCUGGACGUCCCCGUGAAAGCGCGUAGGGCGCGAGGCAGGCAGGGCCCGAGACGCGAGACGAAGCUUCGGGCGAAGCCGGCGAUCCCACGCUUCCGAGAAAAACCCCUAGGCAGGCGCCCCGGCGCCCGUACCAAAACCGACACAGGUGGGCGGGUAGAACAUACCGAGGCGAUCGGGUGAACCAUGGUCAAGGAACUCGGCAUAAUGGCCCCGUAACUUAGGGAGAAGGGGCGCCCCCCGCGGUGAAGGAGCGAGCCUCCGGAGCGGCGGGGGGCCGCAGCGAAACGGCCCAAGCGACUGUUUAUCAAAAACACAGGACUCUGCCAAGCCGCAAGGCGACGUAUAGGGUCUGACGCCUGCCCGGUGCCGGAAGGUCACGGGGAACCGUCAGCCGAAAGGCGAAGCGGCGAACCUAAGCCCCGGUAAACGGCGGCCGUAACUAUAACGGUCCUAAGGUAGCGAAAUUCCUUGUCGGGUAAGUUCCGACCUGCACGAACGGCGUAACGAUUUGGGCGCUGUCUCGACCAUGGACCCGGCGAAAUUGCACUAUUCGUGAAGAUGCGAAUUACCCGCGGAAGGACGGAAAGACCCCGUGAACCUUUACUGCAGCUUGGCAUUGGCCGACGGCGCGUCGCGUAGAGGAUAGGCAGGAGCCCGCGAAGCGGGGGCGCAAGCCCCCGUGGAGGCGACCUUGGAAUACUGCCCCCGGCGCGUCGGCGGCCUAACCCCGACCCGUGCAACCGGGCGGGGGACCGUGCCAGGCGGGUAGUUUGACUGGGGCGGUCGCCUCCCAAAGAGUAACGGAGGCGCGCGCAAGGUUGGCUCAGGGCGGUCGGCAAUCGCCCGCAGAGCGCAAGAGUGCAAGCCAGCCUGACUGCGAGGCCCACAAGCCGAGCAGGGACGAAAGUCGGCUCUAGUGAUCCGGCGGCCCAGAGUGGAAUGGCCGUCGCUCAACGGAUAAAAGGUACUCCGGGGAUAACAGGCUGAUCUUGCCCAAGAGUCCACAUCGACGGCAAGGUUUGGCACCUCGAUGUCGGCUCAUCGCAUCCUGGGGCUGAAGUCGGUCCCAAGGGUACGGCUGUUCGCCGUUUAAAGCGGUACGCGAGCUGGGUUCAGAACGUCGUGAGACAGUUCGGUCCCUAUCCUCCGUGGGCGCAGGAGAAUUGAGGAGGUCUACCCCUAGUACGAGAGGACCGGGGCGGACGGGCCUCAGGUGUCCCGGUUGUCGACCAACGGCACGGCCGGCUAGCCACGCCCGGAACGGAUAACCGCUGAAAGCAUCUAAGCGGGAAGCCGUCUCCGAGAUGAGUUCUCCCUCCGGUAAGGGCCCUCGUAGACCACGAGGUCGAUAGGCCGCAGCUGCAAGCGCCGCGAGGCGUUCAGGCGAGCGGUACUAAUAGCCCGAGCUCUUGCUUCC
rnacentral:rRNA from 1 species